AGUCUGACGGAGCACGCCGCGUGAGUGAUGAAGGCUUUCGGGUCGUAAAACUCUGUUGUUAGGGAAGAACAAGAGCUAAUUGAACUCUGGCUUUUGACGGUACCGACAGAAUAAGCACCGGCUAACUCUGUGCCAUCAGCCGCGGUAAUACAGAGGGUGCGAGCGUUAAUCGGAAUUACUGGGCGUGGAGCGCGCGUAGGUGGGUCGUUAAGUUGGAGGUGAAAUCCCCGGGCUCACCCUGGGA
rnacentral:rRNA from 1 species